CGGGACUCAGACUGAUGCACCACUGGCUUCCUUGCUCCUCAACGUGCAGAUGGCCUAUCAUGGGAAUUUAUCUUGUAAUCAUAAGAAGAAACUGAAGUUGGAAAGAUCAACAAGCUUACCUGAAGUCACAGGGCGGGAGAGUAAAGGAGCAGAAUUUUCAACCUAAGUUUAUAUGAUUCUAAAAUUUUCCACUACCAUGCUACUAAAAGAAAUUACUCAACUAGUUCUUCCUGUUCAGGUUCUAAUGGAGACUGAAGAUCCAUCACCUGCUCCACAUCUCCAGGGGGCCCAUGUGUGCAUCGCAGUGCAGAUCAUACAUGC
rnacentral:lncRNA from 1 species